ACAGCAAAUUACGGAUCAUGCUUGGGAGAAUGUUUUGAACAAUCUCACAACAGACAGGGAGAGCUGGGAAGAUUUGAUGUACAGUACAAUGAUUUCUAUCUCCUUGUACCAUCCAGAUGACAAGAACAAAUUCGUUUUCAGCAUGGCAUCAUAGUGAUGCUUUUCCCGUGUGCAUUUUAACAUGCACGAGUUACACGAUUUCCAAAUCAUCGUGAUGUUGGGAGGUUAAUGAAUAUUACAUAGUUAGUUCAGCUUUUACCGAGUUUAAGGCUUUGCUUAGCUGCAACAAAGACAACGAAAGGGAA
rnacentral:sRNA from 1 species